UACCGUGGCACAGUGGUUAGAACUUCUGCCUUGGAUACAGGAGGUCGCGGGUUCAAUGCCCCCCCCCCGUCAUAUCAA